rnacentral:rRNA from 1 species
ACGGGAGGCAGCAGUAGGGAAUACUAGGCAAUGGGGGAAACCCUGACCUGGCGACGCCGCGUGAAGGAUGAAGGUUUUCGGAUUGUAAACUUCUUUUAAGAGGGACGAUAGUGACGGUACCUCUUGAAUAAGCUCCGGCUAACUACGUGCCAGCAGCCGCGGUAAUACGUAGGGAGCAAGCGUUAUCCGGAUUUACUGGGUGUAAAGGGCGUGUAGGCGGGACAUCAAGUCAGAUGUGAAAGCACGAGGCUCAACUUCGUGUCUGCAUUUGAAACUGACGUUCUUGAGUGUUGGAGAGGCUAACGGAACUCCUAGUGUAGCGGUGAAAUGCGUAGAUAUUAGGAAGAACACCAGUGGCGAAGGCGGUUAGCUGGACAAUAACUGACGCUGAGGCGCGAAAGCGUGGGUAGCAAACAGGAUUAGAUACCCUGGUA